AUUGAACGCUGGCGGCAGGCCUAACACAUGCAAGUCGAGCGGAAACGAGUUAUCUGAACCUUCGGGGAACGAUAACGGCGUCGAGCGGCGGACGGGUGAGUAAUGCCUGGGAAAUUGCCCUGAUGUGGGGGAUAACCAUUGGAAACGAUGGCUAAUACCGCAUAAUAGCUUCGGCUCAAAGAGGGGGACCUUCGGGCCUCUCGCGUCAGGAUAUGCCCAGGUGGGAUUAGCUAGUUGGUGAGGUAAUGGCUCACCAAGGCGACGAUCCCUAGCUGGUCUGAGAGGAUGAUCAGCCACACUGGAACUGAGACACGGUCCAGACUCCUACGGGAGCAGCAGUGGGAAUAUGCACAAUGGGCGCAAGCCUGAUGCAGCCAUGCCGCGUGUAUGAAGAAGGCCUUCGGGUUGUAAAGACUUUCAGGUGAGGAGGGGUGUCGUUAAUAGCGGC
rnacentral:rRNA from 1 species